rnacentral:rRNA from 1 species
AGAGUUUGAUCCUGGCUCAGGACGAACGCUGGCGGCGUGCCUAAUACAUGCAAGUAGAACGCUGAAGAGAGGAGCUUGCUCUUCUUGGAUGAGUUGCGAACGGGUGAGUAACGCGUAGGUAACCUGCCUUGUAGCGGGGGAUAACUAUUGGAAACGAUAGCUAAUACCGCAUAACAAUGGAUGACACAUGUCAUUUAUUUGAAAGGGGCAAUUGCUCCACUACAAGAUGGACCUGCGUUGUAUUAGCUAGUAGGUGAGGUAAUGGCUCACCUAGGCGACGAUACAUAGCCGACCUGAGAGGGUGAUCGGCCACACUGGGACUGAGACACGGCCCAGACUCCUACGGGAGGCAGCAGUAGGGAAUCUUCGGCAAUGGGGGCAACCCUGACCGAGCAACGCCGCGUGAGUGAAGAAGGUUUUCGGAUCGUAAAGCUCUGUUGUAAGUCAAGAACGAGUGUGAGAGUGGAAAGUUCACACUGUGACGGUAGCUUACCAGAAAGGGACGGCUAACUACGUGCCAGCAGCCGCGGUAAUACGUAGGUCCCGAGCGUUGUCCGGAUUUAUUGGGCGUAAAGCGAGCGCAGGCGGUUUGAUAAGUCUGAAGUUAAAGGCUGUGGCUCAACCAUAGUUCGCUUUGGAAACUGUCAAACUUGAGUGCAGAAGGGGAGAGUGGAAUUCCAUGUGUAGCGGUGAAAUGCGUAGAUAUAUGGAGGAACACCGGUGGCGAAAGCGGCUCUCUGGUCUGUAACUGACGCUGAGGCUCGAAAGCGUGGGGAGCGAACAGGAUUAGAUACCCUGGUAGUCCACGCCGUAAACGAUGAGUGCUAGGUGU